CCCGGCGCGGGAUAUAUCCCUCCGCUCGCAGCCACGCCCGCUCGCGCCGGCGCUCUUUUCUCCCGCGCAGAAACUCGACCCGACUUUCCCUGGCAGCCGGAAUCCCAGUCCGCGGGGUCCGGGCUACGACGCCCCGCCAAGGGUCAGAGAUCUCCCAGCAGCUACAGCAGCCAACUCCUUUCCAGGAGACCAGCGAGUGUCCAGGAUGACCUAGCGACACCGCGAGGAACAGAUUGGGGCUCGCUCUAGUGCCGAGGUCUGCAAUUGCUUGGUGGAAUAAAAUCUUCCAAAAGGUCUCAAAAGGAAUGCAGUUAGAUCGGAACCUACUUCCUUUUUCAAUCUACAGUACACUAAAAUCCCGGGAAAGUGAAAACGCUUCCUUCGCGACCUCUUUGCGCAGAGCUGGUUAGACCCCGGAACUUCUCCAGCCGUGGUUACGAACCCCAACGCCGGCCUCCGCCGGCGGACACCCCUGACUCCCAGGUCUGCGGGACAAAAGGCAGCGGUGCCGUCUCGUGCGCUUUCCCACGCGGGAAGCAAGAAUGAAGAUAAAAGGGAAAAGAAGCAGAAAAGGAAAAAAGCAAAUACAAGACAGCUGCCAUUCUACUGGGAAAUACAACCGGUUGCCUGGUGGUGAGAGGUUUCUUCUGAGAGGCUACACGGAGCCAUUGCCUCUUGGAACCGUGUCAGCGAGAAGCCUCCUACCUGUACAGCUGGCCCAUGAGGCCCGUCGCCCCACAGAAUGAGAGGACGGUGACAAUUCUGCCUGGAACAAAGACACAAGACUCAGAUGAGCUGGCUUAAGCUUCAGAAGUCACCUUGGACCAUGAGGUGAUCUUGAGAAUGGAAGCAAUUGUCUAGAUUUUACCACAUCCUUCACGGAAAAAGUAUGACUCUAAACUCCUGCUUCUAGGCUACUCGUGAUGAAGAAUCUGCUGGAAGCUCUGGAGGACAGGUGCUCACUGUCUAAUGUUACACAGCUCUCCUCUCUCAACUUACUACCCCAGGAAAGGGAUUUUUUCCUGAGCGGGAGGGAGCUGAGGAAGUCUGGGCAAUCCACAACAGACCAUCUGAAAUCAUUUUCCCAGGCGGCGGAAUAAACACCUAGCCAGACGUUACAUUGUUUUUC